rnacentral:pre_miRNA from 1 species
GAUGGGUGUAUCUCUAGUGCAUGUUUUUUUAUAUCUCAUGACUAGAUUUUCACUCGUUCA